GGGGGGGGGUGAUAACAUAAAUAAACCACAAAACACAAAAUAAUUACAAUUUCAUAGCUCAACCCAAUCUAAUUCAGUAAAUACCUAUUCGCCCAAAAUAAACUACAGUUCAUGUCUUCCUUUAGUUUAGGCCCAAAUUCGCACCCAAGCCCAAUAUUUUGUCCUACUACUACAAAAAAAGGAAAUUUAGCCAGCAAGUAACCUUAGCUAAAUGAUACACAAAAC
rnacentral:lncRNA from 1 species